GCCGGGCAUGGUGGCUUGUGCCCGUAAUCCCAGCACUUUGGGAGGCUGAGAUAGGAGGAUUGCUUGAGCCCAGGAAUUCAAGGCUGCAGUGAAUGACGGUGAUCCCACUGUACUCCAGCCUGGGCAACAGAGUGAGACCCUGUCUCUA
ensembl:misc_RNA Metazoa_SRP Metazoan signal recognition particle RNA